UUUCGGUGACUAGACGGUCCGCAGGGGACAUCCCGUCCCUGGGGCCUCCCCAGUCUCCCUCCCCCUCGCGCCUGGGCAGCUCUCUCCCCGGGCUUCGGCUCGAGCCUGCGACCUGCACGGACACCCCCUCUCAGGAUCUAAAAUGUCCACUGAGGCACAAAGAGUUGAUGACAGUCCAAGCACUAGUGGAGGAAGUUCCGAUGGAGAUCAACGUGAAAGUGUUCAGCAAGAACCAGAAAGAGAACAAGUUCAGCCCAAGAAAAAGGAGGGAAAAAUAUCCAGCAAAACCGCUGCUAAAUUGUCAACUAGUGCUAAAAGAAUUCAGAAGGAACUUGCAGAAAUUACGUUGGACCCUCCUCCCAACUGUAGGCUGUUCCUGAUUGGAUCUGCUUGCACCUCUUCUAACUUGUGAGUGACUUGGAAGGAACAGACUUCAUCUUACUUCUAUUCAUUUCUCUAUUUACCAUGACUAACAUACACUAGGCACCCAAAAAGUUAAGAUGAUAGCAGUAAUGAAGAGAAAUGGACCUUGAGUUUCAGAAACUUGUAUUCUAAUGGACCUUCAAAAGAUGGCAAGU
rnacentral:sRNA from 1 species